rnacentral:rRNA from 1 species
AAAUGAAUUGACGGGGGCCCGCACAAGCGGUGGAACAUGUGGUUUAAUUCGAAGCAACGCGAAGAACCUUACCAGGACUUGACAUCCCAGGAAUCCUGCGGAAACGUGGGAGUGCCUUUCGGGGAAUCUGGAGACAGGUGGUGCAUGGUUGUCGUCAGCUCGUGUCGUGAGAUGUUGGGUUAAGUCCCGCAACGAGCGCAACCCUCGUUGUUAGUUGCUGGCAAAAGCAUGCUUUUGUCGAGCUCUCUAGCGAGACUGCCGGUGAUAAACCGGAGGAAGGUGGGGAUGACGUCAAAUCAUCAUGCCCCUUAUGUCCUGGGCUACACACGUGUUACAAUGGGUGUGACAACGAGCAGCCAACUAGCAAUAGUGAGCAAAUCUCUUAAACACAUCCUCAGUUCGGAUCGGAGUCUGCAACCCGACUCCGUGAAGUAGGAAUCGCUAGUAACCGCAGAUCAGCACGCUGCGGUGAAUACGUUCCCGGGCCUUGUACACACCGCCCGU